rnacentral:rRNA from 1 species
UUGAACGCGUGGCGGAAUGCUUACACAUGCAAGUCGAACGGUAGAGGGGGCAACCCUGAGAGUGGCGAACGGGUGAGUAAUAUAUCGGAACGUGCCCAGUCGUGGGGGAUAACGUAGCGAAAGUUACGCUAAUACCGCAUACGAUCUAAGGAUGAAAGCGGGGGAUCGCGAGACCUCGCGCGAUUGGAGCGGCCGAUAUCAGAUUAGGUAGUUGGUGAGGUAAAGGCUCACCAAGCCAACGAUCUGUAGCUGGUCUGAGAGGAUGAUCAGUCACACUGGAACUGAGACACGGUCCAGACUCCUACGGGAGGCAGCAGUGAGGAAUAUUGGACAAUGGGCGCAAGCCUGAUCCAGCCAUGCCGCGUGCAGGAUGACGGUCCUAUGGAUUGUAAACUGCUUUAUACAGGAAGAAACACUCCGACGUGUCGGAGCUUGACGGUGCUGUAAGAAUAAGGAUCGGCUAACUCCGUG